rnacentral:rRNA from 1 species
GAUGAACGCUGGCGGCGUGCCUCAAACAUGCAAGUCGAGCGAGGCUAUGAAUUACCGCAAGGUAAGGCAUAGCCUAGCGGCGAACGGGUGAGUAACACGUGGGUAACCUACCUGGAAGACAGGGAUAACGAUUCGAAAGGGUCGCUAAUACCUGAUAAUAUCCGUCUGCCGGAUGGCGGAGGGAAGAAAGGGGAAACCCGCUUUCAGAUGGGCCCGCGUCCCAUCAGCUAGUUGGUAAGGUAAAGGCUUACCAAGGCGACGACGGGUAGCCGGUCUGAGAGGAUGUACGGCCACACUGGGACUGAGAUACGGCCCAGACUCCUACGGGAGGCAGCAGUUGGGAAUCUUAGGCAAUGGACGAAAGUCUGACCUAGCGACGCCGCGUGAGGGAAGAAGGCCUUCGGUUGUAAACCUCUGUCAUGGGGAAGAAGGAAGUGACGGUACCCAACGAGGAAGCCCCUCGCUAACUACGUG